rnacentral:tRNA from 1 species
GGGAAUAUGGCUUAAUGGUAGAGUGCUUGCCUAGCAUGCAUGAAGCCCUGGGUUCAAUUCCUCAGUACCA